UGCGUAGGGGGCGAGCGUUGUCCGGAAUCAUUGGGCGUAAAGCGCGUGUAGGCGGCUUGGUCAGUCCGGCGUGAAAUCUCUCGGCUCAACCGGGAGUCUGCGCUGGAUACUGCCUCGCUCGAGUCCGGGAGGGGAGAGCGGAAUUCCCAGUGUAGCGGUGAAAUGCGCAGAUAUUGGGAAGAACACCGGUGGCGAAGGCGGCUCUCUGGAACGGUACUGACGCUGAGACGCGAAAGCGUGGGGAGCAAACAGG
rnacentral:rRNA from 1 species